rnacentral:rRNA from 1 species
GACGAACGCUGGCGGCGUGCUUAACACAUGCAAGUCGAGCGGUAAGGCCCUUUCGGGGGUACGACGAGCGGCGAACGGGUGAGUAACACGUGGGUGACCUGCCCUCCAGCUCUGGGAUAAGCCUGGGAAACCGGGUCUAAUACCGGAUAUGACUCCAUGACGCAUGUUGUGGGGUGGAAAGCCUUGUGCGGCUGAGGAUGGGCCCGCGGCCUAUCAGCUUGUUGGUGGGGUGAUGGCCUACCAAGGCGACGACGGGUAGCCGGCCUGAGAGGGCGACCGGCCACACUGGGACUGAGACACGGCCCAGACUCCUACGGGAGGCAGCAGUGGGGAAUCUUGCGCAAUGGGCGAAAGCCUGACGCAGCGACGCCGCGUGAGGGAUGACGGCCU